rnacentral:rRNA from 1 species
AUUGAACGCUGGCGGCAGGCCUAACACAUGCAAGUCGAACGAGUGGCGGACGGGUGAGCAAUGUCUGGGAAACUGCCUGAUGGAGGGGGCUCACUACUGGAAACGGUAGCUAAUACCGCAUACCAUCGGAUGUGCCCAGAUGGGAUUAGCUAGUAGGUGGGGUCAAUGAGCACCUAGGCGACGAUCCCUACCUGGUCUGAGAGGAUGACCAGCCACACUGGAAGUGAGACACGGGCCAGACUACUACGGGAGGCAGCAGUGGGGAAUAUUGCACAAUGGGCACAAGCCUGAUGCAGCCAUGCCGCGUGUAUGAAGAAGGCCUUCGGGUUGUAAAGUACUUUCAGCGAGGAGGCGUUACCCGCAGAAGAAGCACCGGCUAACUCCGUGCCAGCAGCCGCGGUAAUUC